ACGAACGCUGGCGGCAGGCCUAACACAUGCAAGUCGAGCGGACCCUUCGGGGUUAGCGGCGGACGGGUGAGUCACGCGUGGGAAUAUGCCCUUCUCUACGGAAUAGUCCUGGGAAACUGGGGGUAAUACCGUAUACGCCCUUUGGGGGAAAGAUUUAUCGGGGAAGGAUUAGCCCGCGUUGGAUUAGGUAGUUGGUGGGGUAAUGGCCUACCAAGCCGACGAUCCAUAGCUGGUUUGAGAGGAUGAUCAGCCACACUGGGACUGAGACACGGCCCAGACUCCUACGGGAGGCAGCAGUGGGGAAUCUUAGACAAUGGGGGCAACCCUGAUCUAGCCAUGCCGCGUGAGUGAUGAAGGCCUUAGGGUUGUAAAGCUCUUUCAGCUGGGAAGAUAAUGACGGUACCAGCAGAAGAAGCCCCGGCUAACUCCGUG
rnacentral:rRNA from 1 species